rnacentral:tRNA from 1 species
UAUAGGGAAAUUAAUUAAUAAGGGGUUAAUUUUUCUAGUUUUGCGGGCACCCUACCUUUAUAA